GUGGGGAAUAUUGCGCAAUGGGGGAAACCCUGAUCCAGCGACGCCGCGUGAAGGAUGAAGGCCUUCGGGUUGUAAACUUCUUUUGGAGGGGACGAAUAAAUUGACGGUACCCUCAGAAAAAGCCACGGCUAACUACGUGCCAGCAGCCGCGGUAAUAAGUAGGUGGCGAGCUUUACUCGGAAUUACUAGUCGUAAAGCGUAUGUAGGCGGUUGUAUAAGUCUAUGGUGAAAUUUCCUGGAUCAACUGGGAAGGGACAUAGAUACUGUAUGUGUUGAGUGUUGGAGGGGGAGACGGAAUUCCUGGUGUAGCGGUGAAAUGCGUAGAUAUCAGGAGGAACACCGAUGGCGAAAGCAGUCUCCUGGCCAAAUACUGACGCUGAGGUACGAAAGCUAGGGUAGCAAACAGGAUUAGAAACCCCUGUAGUCC
rnacentral:rRNA from 1 species